AUUGAACGCUGGCGGAAUGCUUUACACAUGCAAGUCGAACGGCAGCACGGACUUCGGUCUGGUGGCGAGUGGCGAACGGGUGAGUAAUGUAUCGGAACGUGCCCAGUCGUGGGGGAUAACGUAGUGAAAAUUACGCUAAUAACGCAUACGAUCUAUGGAUGAAAGCGGGGGACCGUAAGGCCCCGCGCGAUUGGACCGGCCGAUAUCAGAUUAGGUAGUUGGGGGGGGAAAGGCUCACCAAGCCGACGAUCUGUAGCUGGUCUGAGAGGACGACCAGCCACACUGGAACUGAGACACGGUCCAGACUCCUACGGGAGGCAGCAGUGGGGAAUUUUGGACAAUGGGCGCAAGCCUGAUCCAGCCAUUCCGCGUGCAGGAUGAAGGCCCUCGGUUUGUAAACUACUUUUGUACGGAACGAAAAGGCUCUGGUUAAUACCUGGGGCUCAUGACGGUACCGUAAGAAUAAGCACCGGCUAACUACGUGCCAGCCGCCGCGGUAA
rnacentral:rRNA from 1 species